rnacentral:lncRNA from 1 species
GUGAUCUGAAUGUACUUGUGUGAAGAGAGGCAUCUUAGAAGAGCUCUUGAACAGGAGGUGACAAAAAGCGUAUUUGCACCAUAGGUGGCCUACUACUGCUGCUGCAGUCAUUGCUUUUCCUGAGGAUGCCAUAAACAGAAUAUUUUCUCAAGUCCAACUCUGGUGCUGCCUGUUUUCUGCCUCAUCCUCUGUAGGACAUUCUUGAGCCAAGCAGCAUUUAUUACUUGGUAUCGCUACCUACUGAGAAGAGGAAUGUGAAAUAAACUCCCUAGAGAAGUGGUGUGCCA